AUGGUUCUUGGAAGGGUCAGAAAUGAAAGUGUCCUAUUCAUUCUUUUCUCCUAUCCUGUUUCCUUUUUCCAGACUACCAAGCCAGUCGGGAGGAGACUGCUUCAUAUUACAGUUGCCCAGAAGCAUUGCUGGAAGCUCAGAUGUGGGUGCCCCAGUCAACAGUGGAAGGGGGUACAAGGAAAUCACAGAGAACUCUGUUCUGAUGUCCCCAGAAGCAAGCCGACCCCCUCCGGGCUCUGGGAAUACUACAAAGCAAUAUGAAACCUGUUCAUGAGAGGAGUCAGGAAUGCCUUCCACCAAAGAAACGAGACCUCCCUGUGACCAGCGAGGAUAUGGGGAGGACCACCAGCUGCUCAACCAACCACGCACCCUCUGGCGAUGCCUCUGAUUGGUGUCGGGGGGUAGUGGCGACUGGGCAGACCCAGGCAGGAGGAAGACAGAGUGUUGGUAGUGAUGGAGUGGAGGCCAUCACUGGUCUGACAGUGGACCAAUAUGGUCAGCUGCAGCAUCACUCAGGCACUCAGCCAGUGGACCUCACUCCAGGCCGGGUGCCCAUUUACUAUCAGAUGUCUCGGCUUCCCCCUGGGUAUACAACACAUGAAAUCCCUCCAGCAGGAGCAAGCCCAGAUUCUGCCCCUGCACUACAUGAGGUCCAGCCCGUUCCAGAUGUAACUACUCCCAAUGGAGGGCAGAGACAAAUGGAACGGAACAUGGUAAGACAAGAAAGUGAAGCCAUGGACCCCCCCGGCAACAAGGAUGAUGGCCAGGGAUUAGGAACAGUGGUGGAAUGUGUGGUGGACGGACAGUUGUUUUCAGGUUCUCAGACUCCACGGAUGGAGGUGGCGGUGCCGGCACACCGAGGGACUCCAGAUACUGACCUAGAGGUCCAGAGAGUGGUUGGAACUUUAGUGUCUCAGGACUAUCGAGUGAUGGCAACUCAGAGGAAAGAUGAGCCCAGCCCCCUUAAUCUGUCCCAUCAUGCCCCUGAUCAUCAGAGUGAGGUGAGAGGGCUGGCUAGGAACCCAGUAGAAAUGACAGAGAAGAGCCAGGCCCAGGGCCUCUACACCCCGUCUCCUCAAGAGCUGACAAAACAUAGACCUUUACCCAAAGCAAUGGUUAUAGCCAAUGGCAAUUUGGUGCCCAUUGGUACUGAGCAGGGCCUGCUGUCCAUGGGGUCAGAAAUCCUGGUGACAUCAAGUCUGGAUAUGCAGGUUCGAGCCACUUUCCCAAACAAGGAGCCAACCCCACCGCCUAGCACCUCUUCCCACUUGCCCUCUCACUUCAUGAAAGGUGCCAUUAUCCAGUUGGCCACAGGAGAGCUGAAGCGGGUUGAGGAUCUACAGACCCAGGACUUUGUGCGCAGCGCAGAGGUGAGCGGGGGACUGAAGAUUGACUCCAGCACCGUGGUAGACAUUCAGGAGAGCCAGUGGCCUGGCUUUGUCAUGCUGCAUUUUGUGGUCGGGGAGCAACAGAGCAAAGUAAGCAUCGAUGUGCC
rnacentral:lncRNA from 1 species